rnacentral:tRNA from 1 species
GCCGACGUGGCUCAGUUGGUAGAGCAACUGAUCCGUAAUCAGUAGGUCGGGAGUUCGAAUCUCCCCGUCGGCA